GUGGCCAAGAGAGAUGGCAGGACCUGAGUU
rnacentral:piRNA from 1 species